GGAUGGUCCAGCUUGCCUGCUAAGCUCCAGGGAUUGGGUCAGUCAUACUGUCUACUAAGUCCCAAUCUCUGUGAUUUAAAUACUUUCCAAUUGACUCCUCAAGACAAGAGAUUUCCAUUUUAAAAGGGACCCUGUGAUCUGGCCAGAUUCCAAGAGUUGGGCAUGCAAAUUUGGUUUCUCAUCUUCAGCAUUACUUAUUUUCAAGAGAAGUAAUAGAAAGAGUGCUUUAGACUUCGGGUAGACACCUCUUUCAGGAGAUGGACUCUAUUUAUAGAUGGUUACGUUACUUUGUUCUAUUAGCCUUAGCAGAAAAAAAAAAAAAAACAAAAAACAAAAAACCCUAUCUCUAUUUAUGAUAUGAGGUGCCUGGUUUAUCCUAACUUCAAUCAAGACUUAUGCCCUCCAUCUCUUCUCAAGAAACGCUGCGUACUGUUGCACACUUGCCAUCCCUUGCCCCCUCGUGAUUACACUGCAGGGAAGUUUCCCCACGUUGUAAAAAUUCUUUCCCAAGUCUUUUCCUGUAUCAGGCAUUUGUGUGAUGAUGACAUCAUGAGUAUUGUUGGGUAAAAUAAAAUGAUAUUUGCCCCACCCCGACCCCCCUCCAUUGCUGGAAUACACAGCUGUGCUGCUGUGAUUUGGUUAGCACGGAUUAAGGUGUGCAUCGGAUCGGUUUCUCAUAGGUGAUGGUUUUGCUAGGAGGGAGCUGAGUACACAGUUAGCAUCUCAGUCCUCUUAAAGUGGGAAGGUAAAAAGCUUUAUUAGAAUAGCUGUCUUUAUAUCAGCAGCCUCACUAAAAUUGGCCCUCGACUGAAUGCCCAUACCGUGAUUUGUUACUGUUUUUAAUCAGCUGCAAUAACAAUAACAAUAUUGUAUCAAGCAAAGCGAGCUGUUACUGUAGAAGUGAGAAAAUUCUAAGACACACAUAAAAAAACAAAACAAAACAAAAACACUGUUGUUUCCAUGUAAGAUAUUUAAUUUUGAUAUAUAUAUAUGGUUAAAUCUUAUUCCACCACUGGUGGUAUCCUUUAUAUGAAUUUUCAUGUGGGCAUUUCUAGUCAGUGGAUUUUAAUUAUCCAUCUAUUCUUUGAGAAGCUGUAAAGUUUAUUUUCAAAACUGGAUUCUAAAUGGAAAUUAAAAAAAAAAAUGUGUCUCCAGAAUCAGGAUCUGAGUGUGAGCUUCCUUGGUGUGGAAGAGACUAGUGGUUAGUUCUUGGACUCAAAAAGACCUUCAAGGGCAAUCACAUUUUCUAAAGGCCUGUGUCUGUCUUAUUUCAUGAACAUGGCAGCUUUUCCUACAUGAGUCUUAGCACAGAUAACCCACAGUCCAGGGUUCAGGAAUGAAGCUGGGGCUGUGGAACGGAAGCUCAGUGACAGAGUGAUUGCCUCAUGUGCCCAAGUCCCUAGGCUCAACCCUUACUACUGCGUCUACUGCAAAAGAUAGAAUAAAAUAAAGAGGAAUUAAAGCUAAAAGGAAGGAACCCGUGAGCAUCAUAAGCAUGGCCUUGAGGUCUUCCCAAGUCAGCCAGUAAUGUUAAGGGCCAGAAGUCAUCAGGGUGUUAGCUCUGGGUGCGAUGUGAUGUUGGGGGUCUGGUUAUACAUCGGUCAGGAUUCUCCAGAGGAAUAGAACCAACAGGCAGGCACGAAUGGCUGGCAGUGCCCCUCAGCAGUGGCAAAAGCAACAGCUUCUUACAUCACAUCUAUCGUGAGGAAACAGAAAAAGAUGAAUGAGUGCUCAGCUCAUUCCCCCUUAUCACCCAGCCUAGGACCUCGGCCCCUGAUAGUACCAUGCUCAUUCGGGAUGAAUCUUCUCCUUCCAUUACAACCUAGAAACCCCCUUUGGAAAUGCCAGCUGUUUGUCUCCUGGUCAUUCUAGAUCCUGUGAUGUUGACAACCCUUAUCAGCUCCCAUAGAUAAUUUGGUUCUGAGAAUUACCACUGGAAGUCAGAUUGGGUUUGCAUAGACUCCUAGAUUUUGGAUAUAAAUGAUCAUUUUUGACUGCAAAGAAGGAUGGUUUGACACGUGUUUGGUUUUAACUGUAGAAAAAUAGCAAACACGCCUGAAAGGGUUAAUUAUGAACCCACUGGAAGAAACUGCUUGGAUGAUUACAUCAUCCGUUGGUGUAUUUAAGCUAGAACUUAGUUUGAUUCCUAAGUGAUAGCAUUCUAGAGAUGGCUUAUCUCAGGGGAGAUAAUCGGACAUUCACACUGAGAGGUAACAAAGUUUUCUGUGGCCAUACCAUUUUUUGUUGGGUGACUUUCCAAUGUUUUUGCACUCUUCUGAGGUGAGUGGGUAUCACAGCAGACACUGUGAUGUUUUAGACUUUGAAGUUAAAACUGUGUUCCAUUGUUGGCAGUGAAAUCCUAGCCUCUGGGAUUAAUGGGGGUCUUUUGGGUGGAUCUGCCUCUCACACUUAGGCUGGUGGUCCUGUGCAGUGAACAGCUUGCCCUGCUGGCAAAGAUGAUGCCGUGUAGGCCCUGUCACCUGACUACUAAACCAGGAGAGACCCCCUAGCUCUGUUUUCCUAUCAAGGCCUCUUAUCAAGGAGGGUCCCAUUGUUCUGGAGUUAUAAUCAUCUUCUUCCUGUACACAACCCAGCAUGUUCAGGAGCCUAUGGACCAAUGGAUGAUUUGUGGUGCUUACUGACUUAGGAGAGAAACUUUGAUACUGGUCAGAGAAGGGAGAAUAAGCUAAUGUUUGUCUUUCUCAUCUCCUGGAUUCCUAUGUUGAAAUUCUAAUCCCCAGGGUAAUUACAUUAGGAGAUGGUGAUUAAGUCAGGAGAGUGGAACCUUCAUGAGUGGUGGUGACUUUAUAAAAGGUGGGUCCUGAGUGUCCUCUUUGUUUUGUGUGAAUUGUGAGAAUUCAGUGGUUAGGCGGAAGGUCUCAUACCAGUACCCAUCUCUGCUGUUAGUGUCGAUGGAUCAUAGACUUCUGAUCUUCAGAACAAUGAGAAAUCUGCUUGUUGUAGAGGCCACUUAGGCAAUGGUGGAGGCCAGGGCAGUGCAAAUGCACUAAUAAGAAGCUAGCUGGCCAUGCCUACAGGUAGCAGAGCAGCAUAGGCGGACGCUCCUCAUGGUUUUCUCUGGGAGAGACUCAUAUUCUGGCGAGUAAGGUGGAGAGGGGGAGGGGGAGGGCUGACCCUUCUGAUCCAGCUGUUCUUUCUUCUCGGCAACUGUAGCUCCCAUGGAACGUUGUCUGUUGUUAAUUUGUCUCCUUCUGCGCUGUAGUCACCGUCUUCCCAGGUCCCUCUCAAUCACUGUUCGUGACUUUGGGCUGUUUGGAGGUUUUUGUCUUUUUGUUUUUGCUUAUCUGUAUUUUUACUAGAAAUUGGGUGUGCUCUGUGGUAAAUUGGGGAUGAUGUCGUCUUUACUCGGAAGUUUGCAAGCCUUAUUGAUUAACUACAGCUGUUGAUGCUAAUGAACUAUCUCUGUGUUGAGCUGGUGUGAAAGCUGUUAGACUUGACUGUUCUUAAGGAUCGAUGCAGCCGCUCCAGGAAGAACACGGCAUAUAGGAGCCAUCUUUCCACAGAUCACAUGCCAUCUGCAAAUG
rnacentral:lncRNA from 1 species